CCUACGGGAGGCAGCAGUAGGGAAUCUUCCACAAUGGGCGAAAGCCUGAUGGAGCAACGCCGCGUGAGUGAUGAAGGCCUUCGGGUUGUAAAACUCUGUCAUUCGGGACGAACCGGAGUCUGAGGAAAUGCAGACUCUCUGACGGUACCGGAGGAGGAAGCCCCGGCUAACUACGUGCCAGCAGCCGCGGUAAUACGUAGGGGGCAAGCGUUGUCCGGAUUCACUGGGCGUAAAGCGCGCGCAGGCGGUGAUGUAAGUCUGAGGUGAAAACCCGAAGCUCAACUUCGGGACUGCCUUGGAUACUGCGUCACUUGAGGAUAGGAGAGGCAAGGGGAAUUCCACGUGUAGCGGUGAAAUGCGUAGAGAUGUGGAGGAACACCUGUGGCGAAGGCGCCUUGCUGGCCUAUUUCUGACGCUGAGGCGCGAAAGCGUGGGGAGCAAACAGGAUUAGAUACCCUGGUAGUCCACGCUGUAAACGAUGAGUGCUAGGUGUAGGUGGGCUCAUACCACUCUGUGCGACGACUACGCAUAGCACNCCGCCGUCGGGUAGGUACGGUCGCGACGACGUAGAACGUACGAAGUAGAAGUUAGACGGCGNGAGGACGNGCCGACGGCGACGACGAGGGAGGAGG
rnacentral:rRNA from 1 species